CCAACAUGAAUACUCCAGAAGGCCACUUUCCCCAUACUUUGUCCAGGUGGCCUUAGGAACCACAGGGAUCUGCUUGGUGAUACACAGUCCCAUUGUCUGUGGAUGAAGUUGGGUCUCAAGCCUGUACCUUUAUAUACUUAUAGCUUCUCAGAGCCCUGUGGACAAUGACCGAGGAGACAAAACAUACAGGAAACUAAU
rnacentral:snoRNA from 1 species